AUCCUGCUCAGGAUGAACGCUAGCGGCAGGCUUAACACAUGCAAGUCGAGGGGCAGCGGGGAGUAGCAAUACUCCGCCGGCGACCGGCGCACGGGUGCGUAACGCGUAUGCAACCUACCUUUAACAGGGGCAUAACACUGAGAAAUUGGUACUAAUUCCCCAUAACAUUCGAGAAGGCAUCUUCUUGGGUUAAAAACUCCGGUGGUUAAAGAUGGGCAUGCGUUGUAUUAGCUAGUUGGUGAGGUAACGGCU
rnacentral:rRNA from 1 species